GAGCUCGCCCCCCGGUCCCGCUGGUGGUGGACGAGGAGGACGUGAGCUGGAGUCCCCUCCCCGCCCCCCCCCCCCCCCCCACCCCCCCGCCGCUCUCUCCCCGAUGGACAGGGCUGCGUCCGGAGCUCAGGGACAAAGCCCUCUUGGCAGGGGCUGCAGCUGGGCCCGUGAAACAGCCCUUUCAGCUCCGGCUCUGAAUGGCGGUUCUGUGGCCUCGUUGGAGGAACACAGGCGCCUUUUCUGUGUCACUUCCCCCUCACCAGCGGAGCUCCAGAAAUAUGCCACAGCUGACUUCAGGUGAAUCCUUCACUUGGCUGCUGUCCUGUCCCGUGUCUGUAAAGUCGGGAUCUCAACGCCAAUAUCACAGGAUGGAGGAGGAUGAGGUGUAUUGAAUGCUGCAUCCGUGUUUAUUGUUUCUCCAGCACCUUCUUGUAUCGGUCAGGACAGGAUAGGCCCUCCCCAAGGCUGCCUGCACGCUGCUGUCCUGCCAUUUCCAAGUCCUGGGUCAGCCACACAGUCAAGAGAGAGACAGCAUGUGUCUCUCCGAACAGCCUCAGACGAGGAGCACACGGCCGACUCUGCCUAGCAGCCCAGGGGGAGGAGCUGCACACUGACAGUGAGGAGGGCAGCAGGGGAUCAAGCAGCAGUGAGCCCCACAGAGGUGACCCUUUUAUUUAUGCAUUUUUUACUGGCUUUUAUCCCUUCCCUGUCUCACUUCCCCUCUUUCCCGGGACCUCUGUGUUUCCUGAGACCACCUCCCCAGAGAAACUUCCUGUGCAAGUCUCUGUCUCAGGGUCUAUUUUGGGGGCAACUUAGGCGAAGCUAAGGCAAAGCUUUCACAAGGGUGGGGGUCCAAGACCAGGACGUGUUUGGGGCCCUCCCGGGGGUCGGGGAGAGCAGGCCCCUGACAGGCAGGGCAGGUGAGGGCGAGGAAGGGAGGGUCCGAACAGGACCCCGGAGCCAGCUGGGAGCUGCGGGCUCUGAGCAGACGCCUCACCUUGAUGUGUUUGCAAGUUAUUCCUUAUUUUGUACUUCCUUCAGUUAUCUCUAAAUUGUCGACAAAGUUUGGUUUUAGGUUUUUCCAAAGAAAAAUGCAGAUUCCCAGGCUCCACCCCAGAGCUGGUGGAUCCGUGUUUCUAAGCUCUCUAGGUGGCUCUGAUGUAACUCAACCACCGGUCACAUCCAACCUUCCAGAAGCAGCACAAGUUCUCUCCUGUCUCGGGAAAGCUGCUGUCCAGCCUAUGGCAGAGCGCCUCUCGGACGGGGAGCCCUCUGACCCCCCGAGGGUUCCAUCUGGCUCUGAGAGCGAGCAGGUCUCCUGGUGAUCCGUGCUCAGCGACCGGAAGAUCGUGGUCACGCCCCCACUGAGUCCACUCUUCCCUUAUGAAAACAUCCUCGCUUCCUACAACCAUCCUUUAUGACACACGGGUUUCAGCCCCUUACCAGCCCGGUUCCAGCCCCCAGUGGCAUUUCGAUUUGUCUCCUUCCCUCUCAAAGAUCUGAGCCCUGAAUUUAAUAUAAUCCUCCAGCCAGCCUCCGAACUGAGCCUCUGGAGAGCUGAGAAGAGCAGAUGAAGAUGUGUCAACAGUGGUCAGCUCACCCGUUUCAUCCUUCAGCUUCAAAACUCUGGAGCCACACAGACCAGGUCUGCAGAUUUUCAGGAUUCUUGCUGCUGCUGCCGCUUAAAAGCUUAGGAGAGAAAAAUAAAAUUCCGCCAAAUUGGGAAGGAGUGGUGUAUUUGUUUCUGAUUGCUGUGUAACAAAUGACCACAAAUUUAGUGACCUAAAACAGCAUAGACGUCUGACCUCAGUUUCUGUCGAUCAGAAGUCUGAGCACAACUAAGCUGGGCUCUCUGCUCAGGGCCUCACAAGGCUGCAACCACCACGUCAGCC
ensembl:lncRNA